rnacentral:tRNA from 1 species
UCCCUCAUAGCUCAGUUGGUAAAGAAUCUGCCUGCAAUGCAGGAGACCUAGGUUCAAUUCCUGGGUUGGGAA